rnacentral:rRNA from 1 species
CUCAAAUUUGAAAUCUGGCCCCUCCGGGGUCCGAGUUGUAAUUUGCAGAGGAUGCUUCGGGCGCGGUCCCCGUCUAAGUACCCUGGAACGGGUCGUCAUAGAGGGUGAGAAUCCCGUCUGGGACGGGUGGCCGUGUCCGUGUGAAGCUCCUUCGACGAGUCGAGUUGUUUGGGAAUGCAGCUCUAAAUGGGUGGUAAAUUUCAUCUAAAGCUAAAUAUUGGCCGGAGACCGAUAGCGCACAAGUAGAGUGAUCGAAAGAUGAAAAGCACUUUGAAAAGAGAGUUAAACAGCACGUGAAAUUGUUGAAAGGGAAGCGCUUGCGACCAGACUCGCCCGCGGGGGUUCAGCCGGUACUCGUACCGGUGUACUCCCCCGGGGGCGGGCCAGCGUCGGUUUGGGCGGUCGGUCAAAGGCCUCCGGAAUGUGUCGCCCCCCGGGGCGUCUUAUAGCCGGAGGUGCAAUGCGGCCAGCCUGGACCGAGGAACGCGCUUCGGCUCGGACGCUGGCGUAAUGGUCGUAAGCGGCCCGUC